rnacentral:lncRNA from 1 species
GCAACUGCAUGCCAGCCUGGGCGACGGAGCAAGACUCCAUCUAAAAAUAAAUAAAUUUUUUAAAAAAUGGAAAAAGCAGAGGAGCCAGGGACCCGGCAUCCCUCUGGCACGGGAAUGGGAAGACAGCAGAAGAAUCUGUGGGGGCAGUUUCCGGAACACCGGUCUCAGGUCAUCUGCUGAGGAGUGGGGAAGCCCAGCUGUUUAGGUCUGGGGAACAUCAGGUGCCCCACAGUGGCUGUGGCCUCUGCCAUAGUGUAGUUCUUCCCUCCUCCCUCCAGCUGAGUCCUGAGAUGCCAAGUACCAGUCAGGCUGCCUGCCUUUGCUCACAUGCAUUGGCAUCCCUCUGGAGGCCUUGUGUUCUGAUGUCACACUAAGAAUCAUGCAUGUUCACUCACUCCGUGACUGCAUAAAAGUUCAUCCUGAAAUCAGGCUGGUAAUGAGCUGCUGUUCAUGUGUGGUCUUCAUGGGGGGAACCCAGUCAUGUGCUCCACACUUCAAGACACGAAGGGGAAGAUGGGAGGCAGUAAGCUUGACCUUCCUGCAGGUGCUGAGCCAGCUCAUGGGGGCUGAGGACCAGGGCUGGGCUUUACCUGCCUCUGAAGGGGCUUGGAGCAGAGGCAGGGGAGGUGGAAGAAUAGGAACCUGGGGCAGUGUCCUUCCCAGGCAGGAGGACACAGAAGAGCAGGCCCCUGCCAACAUCAAGUUGAAACAGCUGUAAAAGUGGCCUGGGCACAAAGCUGGCAACUGAAGAUAAGGCUCAGGACACAGCGAGCGGUCACCCUGAGGCUCUCCUGGGAGCAGGGAGUGGCUGUCUCCGGCCAUGGUCCACAAAGGCACCAACCACUCCCCUUUGCAGGUGUGAAGCAGCAGCUGGGGACAGUUCAGCCCGGCUUAGGCAUGACCUCUGUUUUCAUCUGCCUGCGAGGCACCAAGGAGGACCUGCAUCUGCCGUCCACCAACUACUAUGUUUACUAUGACACGGACAUGGACCAGGCGAUGGAGCGCUACAUCUCCAUGCCCAGGGAAGAGGCUGCGGAACACAUCCCUCUUCUCUUCUUCGCUUUCCCAUCAGCCAAGGAUCCGACCUGGGAGGACCGAUUCCCACGGGGGGCUGCACGUCCUGGGUGAGGGGGUGGAGGGAGGGGCCGGGCAGUAGUAAUAUCAGCUCUGAUCCCCAGGCCGGUCCACCAUGAUCAUGCUCAUACCCAGCACCUACGAGUGGUUUGAGGAGUGGCAGGUGGAACUGAAGGGAAAGUAGGGCAGUGACUAUGAGACCUUCAAAAACUUCUUUGUGGAAGCCUCUAUGUCAGUGGUCCUGAAACUGUUCCCACAGCUGGAGGGGAAGGUGGAGAGUGUGACUGCAGGAUCCCCACUCACCAACCAGUUCUGGCUGCUCCCCGAGGUGUCUGCUACAGGGCUGACCAUGACCUGGGCCGCCUGCACCCUCGUGUGAUGGCCUUGAAGGCCCAGAGCCCCAUCACCAACCUCUGACAGGUAUACUCACUGCCCCAUGUUGUCAGGACCUGAGACCCUGGGCCCCUGUCGCCCAACGUCCUCUGUUCCUGCCCUCAGGCCCUGCUGUCCCCUGCAGCCUCCCAUCCCCUGAGCAGGGCUGCCUGGGCAGGCUGUGGCCCCUGUCUGAUUGGAGCCAGCUCUGGGUGGCCCUCAUGUGGAGGGAAGAGCACCAAGGCCCCACCCUCCCCUGGGCCUGCCUGGGUGCACACUCAGGGGCCUCUGCUCUUGCCUCCUAGGCCAGGGUAUCUUCACCUGUGGACUGGUAGGGGCCCUGCAAGGUGCCCUGCUGUGCAGCAGCGCCAUCCUGAAGUGGAACUUGUACUCAGACCUUAAGGAUCUUGUCUCUAGGAUCUGGGCACAGAAGAAUUAGUUCCAUCAGGGAGGAGUCAGAGGAAUUUGCCCAAUAGCUGGGGCAUUAGUUCCUUGCACAUAUAAACCACUCUUAUUUGGUUCUGAUGCCUGAAGAGAGGCCUAGUUUAAAUCACAAUUCCGAAUCUGGGGCAAUGGAAUCACUGUUUCCAGCUGGGGCAGGUGAGAUCUUUCCACCUUCUAUAAUAUGCCAUCCCUACUAAUAGGAUAUUGACUUGGAUAGCUUGAUGUCUCAUGACGAGCGGCGCUCUGCAUCCCUCACCCAUGCCUCCUAACUCAGUGAUCAAAGCGAAUAUUCCAUCUGUGGA